UACGGGGGGAGCAAGCGUUGUUCGGAUUUACUGGGCGUAAAGGGCGCGUAGGCGGCGUGACAAGUCACUUGUGAAAUCUCCGGGCUUAACUCGGAACGGUCAAGUGAUACUGUCGUGCUAGAGUACAGAAGGGGCAACUGGAAUUCUCGGCGUAGCGGUGAAAUGCGUAGAUAUCGAGAGGAACACCUGCGGCGAAGGCGGGUUGCUGGGCUGAUACUGACGCUGAGGCGCGAAAGCCAGGGGAGCGAACGGG
rnacentral:rRNA from 1 species